rnacentral:rRNA from 1 species
AGUGAACGCUGGCGGUAGGCCUAACACAUGCAAGUCGAACGGCAGCACCGUACGAGCUUGCUCUUCUCGGUGGCGAGUCGCGGACGUGUGAGGUAUACAUCGUACUCUACUUUUUCGUGUGGGUUCACGUAGGUAAACUUACUCUCAUAUCGCAUAUGCCCUACGGUUGUAAGCAUUGGAUCUUCGGACCUUGCGCGAUUGAAUUAGCCGCUGUCGGAUUAGUUGGUUGGCGGGGUAAAGGCCCCCCAAGGCGACGAUCCGUAGCUGGUGUGAGAGGAUGGUAAGCCACACUGGAGCUGAGACACGGUCAAGACUACUGAGAGAGGCAGCAGUGGGGAAUAUUGGACAGUGGGCGCAAGCCUGGUCCAACCAGAGCGCGUGGGAGAAGAAGGCCUUCGGGUUGGAAAGACCUUUUGUUGGGAAAGAAAAGCAGCAGGUUAAGACGCAGCUGGUCUGACGGUAACGAAAGAAGAAGCACCGGCUAACUACGUG